rnacentral:rRNA from 1 species
AUGGUAACCACACGAUUGGAUGACGUAGCUGCCAGGGCGUGUCACAAUGACCGUGCCUGCAUUUACAUAAUGAAGCCCCUUGGAGAGCAAGACUCAAGGAGAUUAUUCUUUAAUAGAGUAUUUGGGUCUGAAAAUGACUGCUCGAUACAAUUCAAAGAAAUUUUAGUUGAAAUUCUGAAGAAGUGUGGCGGAUUGCCACUUGCAAUUAUCACCAUAGCUAGCCUAUUAGCUAGCCAUGAAGCAGGAUCUUCAAAUGGAUGGGAAAGCAUAAAGAAUUCUCUUGGCGCAAAGUUUGCCACAAAACCUACCUUGGACGAGAUGAGGGGUAUAUUAAACCUUAGCUAUACGCAUCUUCCUAUUCAUCUCCGACCAUGUUUUUUAUAUCUUGGCAUGUAUCCAGAAGACCGUUUGAUCAUUAGGGAUGACCUAGUUCGACAAUGGAUUGCCGAAGGAUUUGUUUGUAAUUUGCAUGGAGCAGAUUUGGAAGAUGUUGCCAAGAGUUAUUUCGUUGAGCUUAUCAAUAGAGGUUUGAUUCAGCCUGAAGAAACAUGCUAUGGGGAUGCAAUUACAUGCAGGAUACACGACAUGAUGCUUGAUUUGAUCCUAAGCAAGAGUAUAGAGGAUAAUUUCAUCAGUGUGGCAUAUAAGCAUGAAGACAUGGCAAGAUUUAAUAGUUGUGAGUACAAAGUUCGUCGAUUAUCUCUCCAAUCAAGUGUUGACGGUGCAAUGUCGAAGACCCUUGCUACUAGCAUGUCACAAGUCCGAUCAUAUACACAGUUUGGAGAGUCCAAGUACAUGCUUCCUCUUACACAAUUUAAGUAUCUACGGGUGCUUGCCUUUGAGUUUCCGUUUAAUUGGAAAACGACAAUUGACCUGAGGACAACUGGCCAUUUGUUUCUACUAAGGUAUUUGAAGGUUUCAGCUUUGUCCGCGGAUGUAGCGCUCCCUGUAGAAAUUCAAGGGCUUGUGCAUUUGGAAACUCUCGAGUUACAUUGCCGGCCCAUACACAGGUUCCCAUCGGAUAUCACUCGCUUGGCCAACUUGUUUCAUUUGAUACUUCCAGAGUGCACAUUGCUUCCUGAAGGGAUCCAGAACAUGAAAUCAGUCCGCACCCUGCAUUGUUCGGACAUGUCAGAGAGUUCUCUGGAGAAAUCAAAGGCCUCAGCGAGCUGA